UCUUUUAUGUGAAAGAGAAGUAAGCUUCUGUCUUGUGUAAGUCACUGUUAUUGUUGGGCUUUCUGUUACUCACAGUCAGAGCUCAUUCCAAGUGAUGCAGGUGCAAGUAACUGAAUACCUGAAAGCAAGAAGACGUUUUAAUUAUCUCCUUUAACCAAUCUGAAAAGAGAAGGUUCCGCAGGUUCCUCCAUUGUUGAUGGUUGCGUCUGCAGCCUGGAUCACUGUCUCUGCGGUUCUCCCGGUCACAGGGUGGGCUCAGCAGCUCCAAACAUGUCCUCACACAGCAGCAAUAUUCCAGGCAGAAGGAUGAAGAUGGGCUGAUAGGCGAUAGGAAUGCUCCUCACACAGCUGUCCUGAUACCUUGGGAAAAACCCUUCCCAGAAGCAGCCAAACUGAUUUCCCUUGGUAUCUCAUUGGCUAGACCCUAGCUGUAAGGGAUGCUGGGAUGAGGAGCCUGGAUUUUCCGCCUCUGUAGUGAGAGGCAGGUGAAGGUGAGUUGGAAAUGGCUGGUGGCUGGACAACCCACGGUGUCUUUCGCAUUGCCCCUCCAGGUCUUUCCCCACUGGCACGUCUUGCAAGAAGGAAGACAGGAGAGCUGGAGCCAGAGAGCUGGGCUCUUGCUGGAGCCCUGAUGGACAGCACAGUUACUGAGGAUUUCAUGAGACAAGUCAGGCGCCUCUAAUUCCUGGCUCCAGGGAGAGCCUGUCUCUAUACCUGGAUGGCGCUAACUAUUUAUGAAGUGCAUCUUGUCCCUCCUGAGCAUCCGUUUUGCUUCUCUCGGCACCAGCCCCUCAGGAAAUUCCCAGCAGACCCUCAGCGUGUGCUGCAGAGUGAUGCCUCCUCAGCUCGACUGCAGACAUCCUUCCAGCAGGGGACUCUUUCUAAGCCCUAAACCCUAAACGGGCUUCAUUUCAGUGCUUUUGUUAACACUCUCUGCAGGGGAUGGGAGGGGACAGAGGUGGGUGCAGCGGUGGAGGAAGGGGCUGGGACUCCCUGUGGAGGAGGUGCCACUUAGUUCUGGGUCCCUGGAGUCCCCGGACACUGCGGCAGACAGUGCAAAAUGAGCCUGCAUCUGUCUGCCCAAGUCUCUGAGGGGUCUUGCCUGUCAGUCUGUGGGCCAGCUCCGCACCUUAUUUCUCAAUCAGCAUCUCCAGUGCCUGGUGGGCUGGGCUGGUGGGGGAUAUGAUGGUCAGGAUGCCCUGUGAAAGAAGGCCUGUAAUCCUUGCGAUGUGGAGAUUCAGCAUGGGCUGUGGGGUUCCUUCCUUUUGCUCGUGCUCUGCCCACAUGUGGUCACUGAGCACCUAUUUCCUACCAGGCUCUGGGUCAGCCCUUGGGGACUCGGUGGUGGACAGGAAACACCUGCCCUGCCCCUCCCAUCCCCUUGCUGAGGCACUGCCGUGUCUCUCAGCUGGAUUAUGGCAAAGCAGAGCAAGCCUGCGGCGAAACAGACAGACUAUAGAGCCAGACACCCGGGUUGGCUCUCAGCUCUGCCUUGUCUCUGCCUGGUAACUUUGGGCAAAUAACUUUCCCUCUCUGUGCCUCAGUGUUCUCAUCUGUAAGAUGGGGAUAAUCAUCUUACCUAGAUUAUACAGUUGUCAUAAAGUUUAAUAGAUUGGUGAUUGUAAAAGAGCCUGGAGCAGGGCCUGGAACCUGGUAAUUAAAUACAGUAAUCGAAUAAUAAAUAACAUUAUCCUGCUGCUUUUUGUGUCACUCUCUUCUAAGCCAUUCUAUGCAUUCUAUACCCAUUUGAACUACCUAGAGGAUAGGUUUGAUCAUGAUAAAAUCGGUCAAGGACUUCUUUGUUUGAAGUCCAAACUUUUGCAUGACCUUCAGAUCCCUGCUUUUCUAUCCUCCUGCCCAUUGCAUUUCCUCACUGUAUCCCCACGCCCACUCCUCAUCCCUGUCAGCCUUGCAGCCAUCCACGUGGUCUGCCAUGUGCUAAACCUGCUGUACUUUCUCAUACCCUGCUUCACCUGGGGACCUUUCCUCUUCCCUCUUUACCUCCUGGGAGACCUGCAUGGGUCCUUAAAGAAGAGGUUCAAGUAGAGGUUUGUGUUUGAAGGUAGAAGCCUUCCAUCAUUUCCCUCAUGUGUUUGUUGGUAGAAGCCUUCCCCCAUUUUUCCUUCCCUAACCGAAGCCAACCUCCCUCUUGCCUGCGCCCCAUCGACUGUCUACCUGGGUCUGCUGCGUUGGGCAGUGUUUUGUAGUCAUCUGAGCAAGCGCCUGUCUUCCAUCAAACCCUGGCCAUACUGACUUCCUCUCUGAGUGGUCUUAGCAAAUGGUGGUUGAAUGAAUGAAUAAACCAGGUGCUUGAUGAACAGCUGUUAGACUAGAAUGAAGAAGCAGGUGACCUCAUUUCAGCUUUACAACUACCCCUGAUGCAAGAGGGGAAACACUCAGAGCUAGUUGGGAAAGACCUGCUGCUUGGCACUGUCGGUGACUACUGGCUGGCCCCUGGAUGGGCUGCCAGUAAGGCCCAGAUCUGUCUGACCCCUGGGACAGGGCUCAUUCCCCCUACCCCUUUAGCACAAGUUCUUUGCCUGGGAAGAAUAGACUGAUGGGCGCAAAAUGUUGUCUUUUCCAAAGAUGCCUGCCAUAGUAUCUCCAUGCAGUAUGCUCUUCUGUGACUUUACCCACUUCCCAUCUGGAGGUGGACUCCUAUCCUGCUUGCUUUGGAUCUGGGCUGAGCUUGGGCCUGCUUGACCAACAGAAUGCAAUGAAAGUGAUGUACCAAGACUUCCAAGAGGAGGCCGUAAGAAGCCUUGCAGGUUCUGCCUGGCUUCCUUGGAUGUGAUGUGCCCUCUAGGAAGCCAGUGGCCAGGCUAUGAGAUGGCCAGACCACGUGGAGAGGCCACGUGUGGGUGCUCCCAUGGAUGACAGCCCAGGCACGUGAGGGAGCCAUCUGGGCUGUCCCAGCAGUCAGACCUUCAGAUGACUUCAGCCCCAGAGGACAUCUGACUGAAGUCCCAUCUGGGACCUGGAGUGGGUACUGCCCAGCUGGGCCCAGUGCAUCCACAGGAACAUGAGAGGUGGAGCCAGUGGUGAAUUUGGAAACAGACAAAAUACAUCCUUAGCACUUGCACAAGACCAGCCCCAUCCCCUGCCUUAGGUCAAGCUUCCCCUCACCCAGUGGCAGCUCUUGAGAACGUCCAAAUCAGCAGGGGGAAAAAAUUGCUGACGGAAACUCACAGCUAGCAAAGGCUAGCACCAGCUCUCCAGACCCCAGUGAAGAGUGCCUUUCCCCAGAAGGCCGGGCCCCAUCUUGGGUGCAGACCCCAGCAGAGCAUAAGGCUUACCAGGAGAGCCUACCUGAGGAGCCUAUUGCAGCAGAAAGUGCCCUGAAAUACAGCCCAGGGCUAAAGUCCAUAGUAAGUCAGGGCUGGCAGGCUGACCCGCUUCUCAGAGCCCUGGAGUCCUGAACUAUGAAAUGUACAUGGUCCUUCUUGCUCUGUCCACUUGUGGAAGCUGUUGGGAGGACUUCGCUUCUGGCCACUUGGAAUAACAGGCACUGGAUCUAGCUUCCUGUCUGAACAAAAAAUAGAACAUACGAAACCGCAAUUUUCAAGACAUUGGGCAUCAGUAAGUGAAGUGCUGUGAUCCCCGAGGGAAGGGAAACAAGCCUGACACUGGGCUUCUGGGCCUCAGCAUGAUUGAAGCCUGGGGAGAAGGGCCAGUACAGGGAGGAAAGCAAGAUCCUGGACCUCAUGCAACGAAAAGUGUCCCAGAAGUACAUGCAUAUAUUCCUGCUAUAUGGUUAAGUUUUUACCAUAAAUGAUGUUGAAUUGUGUCAAUUGAGUUAAUGUUUUUUGAGAUAAUCAUAUGAUUUCACAGAUGUUGGAAUAUCAAACUAUCUUUUUAUUCCUAGAUAAAUCCCUGAGUCAUAGUGUAUUGUUCUUUUUGUAUGUCAUUGAAUGUAGUUUGCUCAUAUUUUAAAAGUGUUUUUGCCCCCAUGAAGAGUAUUGAUCUGUAGGUUUCUAUUUUAAUAUUUUUUCCUGGUUUUGGCUUCAAGAUAAGUUGGCUUCAUGAGUUGUGAAGGGUUUUCUCUUUCUGUUUUCUGAAGGAGUUUGAUAGAUUUGGUAAUUUUUUUAUAACUUAAAAAUUUCUAAUUUUUAAAAAUAGAAUUUACCAGGAAAACUUUUGGAACAGAUACUUUCUUUGUAGGAAAAUUAUGACUAUAAAUUCAGUUUGCUUAGGAGAUAUAGGAUUAUUCAGUCUUUCCAUUCCUUCUUAAUGAGUUUUGGUAGCUUAUACCCUUCAAGGAAUUUGUGUAUUUUCUCUAAACCCUUGAAUUUAUGGUGUGAAAUUGUUUAUAUUGUUUAUUUUUACCAUACCCUUUUGUCUUUAAAUUCCUUUUUAUGAAAGCUACUUUACUU
ensembl:lncRNA